GAGUUUGAUCAUGGCUCAGAACGUACGCUGGCGGCACGCCUAACACAUGCAAGUCGAACGAAGUAGCAAUACUUAGUGGCAGACGGGUGAGUAACAUGUGGGUAUCUACCCUUUGGCCUGGAAUAACACGAGGAAACUUGUGCUAAUACCGGAUAAGUCUUUACGGAGAAAGCUUUAUGCACCAUUGGAUGAGCCCGCACUUGAUUAGUUUGUUGGUAGGGUAAUGGCCUACCAAGACUAUGAUCAAUAGCUGAUUUGAGAGGAUGAUCAGCCACAUUGGGACUGAGACACGGCCCAAACUCCUACGGGAGGCAGCAGUGGGGAAUCUUGCACAAUGGAGGAAACUCUGAUGCAGCGAUGCCGCGUGAGUGAAGAAGGCCCUUGGGUUGUAAAGCUCUUUCGUCGGGGAAGAAAAUGACUGUACCCGAAUAAGAAGGUCCGGCUAACUUCGUGCCAGCAGCCGCGGUAAUACGAAGGGACCUAGCGUAGUUCGGAAUUACUGGGCUUAAAGAGUUCGUAGGUGGUUGAAAAAGUUGGUGGUGAAAUCCCAGAGCUUAACUCUGGAACUGCCAUCAAAACUUUUCAGCUAGAGUAUGAUAGAGGAAAGCAGAAUUUCUAGUGUAGAGGUGAAAUUCGUAGAUAUUAGAAAGAAUACCAAUUGCGAAGGCAGCUUUCUGGAUCAUUACUGACACUGAGGAACGAAAGCAUGGGUAGCGAACAGGAUUAGAUACCCUGGUAGUCCACGCCGUAAACGAUGUCAACUAUCUGUUGGAAAGCAUUGCUUUUCAGUGGAGCAGCUAACGUAAUAAGUUGACCGCCUGGGGAGUACGGCCGCAAGGCUAAAACUCAAAUGAAUUGACGGGGACCCGCACAAGCGGUGGAGCAUGUGGUUUAAUUCGAUGCAACGCGAAAAACCUUACCUAUGCUUGACAUACUUGGAAUACUUUGUAAUGAAGUAGUGCCUUCGGGAGCCAAGAUACAGGUGCUGCAUGGCUGUCGUCAGCUCGUGUCGUGAGAUGUUCCGUUAAGUCGGAUAACGAGCGCAACCCUUACCCUUAUUUGCCAGCGAUUCGGUCGGGAACUAUAAGGGGACUGCCGGUGAUAAACCGGAGGAAGGUGAGGACGACGUCAAGUCAUCAUGGCCCUUACGCAUAGGGCUACACACGUGCUACAAUGGCUAGGACAGACGGCUGCAAACCCGCGAGGGGGAGCUAAUCCGACAAACCUAGUCGUAGUCCGGAUCGGAGUCUGCAACUCGACUCCGUGAAGUCGGAAUUGCUAGUAAUCGCGAAUCAGAAUGUCGCGGUGAAUACGUUCCCGGGCCUUGUACACACCGCCCGUCACACCAUGGGAGUGGGUUGCUCCAGAAGUGGUUAGUCUAACCUUCGGGAGGACGAUCACCACGGAGUGAUUCAUGACUGGGGUGAAGUCGUAACAAGGUAACC
rnacentral:rRNA from 1 species